CUCUUGACCGCAGAUGAUCCGCCUGCCUCGGCCUCCCAAAGUGCUGGGAUUACAGGCAUGAGCCACGGUGUCCGGCCGCAUCCCUGCUUCUUAAGCCUCUUCCUCUGCAGUCCAUCCUGAUUACUAACGAAUGGCCGAGAAGCACGACUUUCAUCCAGCCACUCCCAGCCUCAGAGCCUUCACGAGCUCCUUCUCGCUGCGGGAUAAAGCACAGCUCCUCCGCCAGCCCGGCGCGCAGCGGGCCUCACCUCUCCUGCCCGGCCCUCUCAAUUGUCCCCUGCUCUUCCACCAGGAUCCUUGAAUCCUGCCAGACCUCGCUCCCCUGGGCCUGGGGCGUCCCCGAACUCAUCCUCGCAGCUUCCCUGUCCCAGGAGGGCCCGCUGGCCAAAUCCUCCCCACUCUGCCUGCGGCGAGGCUUGCUGGACUAGCAGACUCAGAAUGGCCUGUUCUGAACAGCCUUGGGGUUUCCGUUUGCACAUUCUGAAGCAAAGCAAUGUGAGAACCGUUUUCAUUGCGUGAGGCAAGGUUUCUCAACCUGAGCACUAUUGACACUUUGGCCUGAAUAAUCUUUUCUGUGGGGGCUCUUCCCGUGCCCUGUAGGAAGUUUAGCAGCUUUCCUGGCCUCUGACCACGAGAUGCCAGUAGCACCUUCCAGUGUGGCAACCGGAAGUCUCCCGACACUGCCAAAUAUUCCCUGGGGGGACAGCUGCUGUGUAAGGGAAGGCUUGUACCACCAGCUGCACUCUCUCAACAGGAGGUUCACUGGAACUAGAUGUAGCAGCCACCUACUGCCACUAACCACAGAGUGGCCACCAGGCAUCUCCGGACACUGGCAGUUGGCAACCGCUCUGGUUCAGAUCAUCUGAAAUGAAGCCCUACACAGCCCAAGGACACGCCCACGUCUGCAACAGAACGCACACUGAGAGCUUCCUGUUGCCUGGGAAACGUGUUAAAUGUGCUACAGAGACACAGACUUGUAUCCAACAUUUCAGAGGUAGUCAGUAUGCAGCAGGAAAACAAAAUAAAACGCAGGCUGAAAGAAUGGGUGGGAUCCAAGGAAUCAAAGCAGUAGAUGGACGACCAGGAGCACCCCAAGUUAUCUUCAGGAAACAGAGCGACAAAACGCAAAGACUGAAAUCUCUUCGAAGCCAGACACAGCAUCUUGUACUGUGGUACGGUGGUACCUCUAGGUUCCUGGCACGCAGCCUGACACAUACGAAGGGCCCCUUAGAAUUUGGUUGCAUAGCUGAUGAAAGCAGCCAGCGUCUGUCAGCAUGUCUGGUGUGCCAGGGCCCGCAGGACAUGCAGUGUGUUCCUUAGCUUAUUUAAACUUUACCACCGCGUUACAAGGGAAGUAGUAUCCUUAUUCCCAUUUUACAGAUAAGGAGGCUGAGGUCCAGAGAGGCUAAGAAACCAGGUCAGACAGAAAGCUGUGGGGUGUGGAGAGCGGCCAAAGGGGCCUGGGGGAGGGGCUCUGUUGGGGCAUGGUGGAGAUGGAGGUAGUGAGAAGAGGGCCCAGGAGAGGGUGCAGAGGGUCAAUUCUGGGAAGGGAGAGGGGGCUUCCUGCGCUGGGCUGGUGAGGCCAUACAAGCAGUGGAAGCAGUCCCUGAUGGGGUACCCGGAGGACUCCCCACUCCUGUGCCCAGACACCUCAAAGUCUCUCCCAAGAGUCAAGCUGCAUCCCCCUCCAGCUUCCCCUCCUCCUAAAGUCCAGUUCCUGGGACAGGACAAUGUCGUGAGGCAGGCGUCUCAGGGGCCAGCUGCCUCCUAAGGUGGAGGUCAGGGAAGGAAGAGGCCUGCAAGGGCCCUGACCCCCAGAGGGUCACUGGCCUCAGCCCACCCUGACAAAGACGCAGACUGACUCAGCUUCCUCCCAGCAUCUCCGCAGGCACGUUCGCCAGGUCAUUCACCCCCAGCCCACUGAGAGGCCUUGGGUUUAAUUACCCAAAGCCCUGAACUUUAGACUUCCCAGAGCUGACAACAGGGCGCUGGGGAUGUUCUUAGAAACUUCAGGACACAGUGGGGAAUGGCAGGAAAGGACAGUGAAAGCAUUAAGAUAAGCAGCAUUCCACUGUAAAUCUUACACAAAAUGCCACAUCCACUGAUCACACGACCUUGAAAAAUGAAGAUAGGCAGCGUCGCACUUCCAAUCUUGUACUUCAGGGAAUGAACUCCAUUGCCUUUGUGUGCAGGAAGCCGGAAGCACGACCACUCUUUACCCUCGGCCUCAUUACAAGACCAAGACCUCUGCCUCGGCGCGGCAGCUCUCACCUGGAAUCCCAGCACUUUGGGAGGCCGAAGCGGACGGAUCACCUGAGGUGUCAGGAGUUUGAGACCAGCCUGGCCAACAAGGGACGCUCACCUACCUCAUGAAUUACGCGUGUCGCCCUCCUCGAGACGCCACAACGCAGUCCCCUGGGGAGCCAGCCGGAGACCUCUCCCUGCGGUGCUGUCUCCCCCGUGGUGGAACGGAAGCCCCUAAUAAAGCCUUGUCUGGGAAA